CCUGGCUCAGAUUGAACGCUGGCGGCAGGCUUAACACAUGCAAGUCGAGCGGGGGAAGGUAGCUUGCUACUGGACCUAGCGGCGGACGGGUGAGUAAUGCUUAGGAAUCUGCCUAUUAGUGGGGGACAACAUCUCGAAAGGGAUGCUAAUACCGCAUACGUCCUACGGGAGAAAGCAGGGGAUCUUCGGACCUUGCGCUAAUAGAUGAGCCUAAGUCGGAUUAGCUAGUUGGUGGGGUAAAGGCCUACCAAGGCGACGAUCUGUAGCGGGUCUGAGAGGAUGAUCCGCCACACUGGGACUGAGACACGGCCCAGACUCCUACGGGAGGCAGCAGUGGGGAAUAUUGGACAAUGGGGGGAACCCUGAUCCAGCCAUGCCGCGUGUGUGAAGAAGGCCUUAUGGUUGUAAAGCACUUUAAGCGAGGAGGAGGCUACUUUAGUUAAUACCUAGAGAUAGUGGACGUUACUCGCAGAAUAAGCACCGGCUAACUCUGUGCCAGCAGCCGCGGUAAUACAGAGGGUGCGAGCGUUAAUCGGAUUUACUGGGCGUAAAGCGUGCGUAGGCGGCUUAUUAAGUCGGAUGUGAAAUCCCCGAGCUUAACUUGGGAAUUGCAUUCGAUACUGGUGAGCUAGAGUAUGGGAGAGGAUGGUAGAAUUCCAGGUGUAGCGGUGAAAUGCGUAGAGAUCUGGAGGAAUACCGAUGGCGAAGGCAGCCAUCUGGCCUAAUACUGACGCUGAGGUACGAAAGCAUGGGGAGCAAACAGGAUUAGAUACCCUGGUAGUCCAUGCCGUAAACGAUGUCUACUAGCCGUUGGGGCCUUUGAGGCUUUAGUGGCGCAGCUAACGCGAUAAGUAGACCGCCUGGGGAGUACGGUCGCAAGACUAAAACUCAAAUGAAUUGACGGGGGCCCGCACAAGCGGUGGAGCAUGUGGUUUAAUUCGAUGCAACGCGAAGAACCUUACCUGGCCUUGACAUACUAGAAACUUUCCAGAGAUGGAUUGGUGCCUUCGGGAAUCUAGAUACAGGUGCUGCA
rnacentral:rRNA from 1 species